rnacentral:rRNA from 1 species
GUGAUGGCGAUUAUUNGGGCCUAAAGCGUCCGUAGCUGGCCCUGCAAGUCCGUCGGGAAAUCCACUCGCCUAACGAGUGGGCGUCCGGCGGAAACUCCAGGUCUUGGGACCGGAAGACUUGAGGGGUACGUCUGGGGUAGGAGUGAAAUCCUGUAAUCCUGGACGGACCGCCGAUAGCGAAAGCACCUCAAGACGACGGAUCCGACAGUGAGGGACGAAAGCUAGGGUCUCGAAC